CUUUUUUCAGGGUUUAGGGGAGUAAUAUCAGAAGGCCAACACAAAAUUAUAUUUUUGUGGCGCUCCACUUAGCUUUUCAUUUCAUAAUGCAUUAGACAUUACAUGUUUUGUAAUUUUAAUAAUUUAUUUUCUUAUGAUGCGUCAGCACAUUCAAAGUUAUAACUGCUGACAGCCACACACACAACUCAUUACCCUAUACAAUUUUCGAGAAAUGCUUUAGAAGUAAAUCAUUUGAAAUUAAAUUUAGCUACUUACAUGUAUAAUCCACUAUAACUGCUAGAUUCAGAUAAUUUGAAAAUUUUAGUUAAUGCAAAUAGAGAAUAUUAUCUUGCAAAUCUUUUUCUUUUGUUUUAGUCAAAUCUUGCAAAUCUUGUUGUGUUAAUUACUGUAAGAAUCAUAGAACAAAAAUUCAAAAACAUUAGAUUGUUUUGGUCCAUCCGGUACAACAUUUCAAUUAUUUUAUAACCUGGUUUGAAAAAAAUAUUUGAUAAAUAUAAACUUUUAACAAACUUCUUUGAUGAGUUAUAUACUAGAAAACAUGUAAAACAAUCUUUAAUACUUUUAGUUAGUUUAUUUCAUUUAAACUAUUUUUUUUCAAAACUGAAUACUAUAACUAUCAAUUAAAAACUUUAUACUAGUGGAAUUGUGAUGUGGACUCCUCCUGAGUAUAAGGAGAUUACUCAUAUUCAAACAAAAAGCACGCAGGUAUUUUUCAUAAAGAAUCUAAAAAAUCGAAAAGGUUGUAAGAGCAAGAAAAAUAAAUUUAGACCAAAAAAAAAUAAAAAUAAAUGUAAAACUGUAAAUGUUGGCCGUCUCGCUUUGGUCCUCUUGUGCAUUGGUUCAGAAGACGUGUAAGUGGGCCUCUAAAGUUGCUCCACACCACAUUGAGAAUGCAAGAUGAGACUGAAAUUGACAUGAUGACAAGCGCAUCAUAGCAAUGUACAGAAAGAUACCUAGCUACAAAAGAUAAUUGUAGGAAGAAAUACUGGAUGUAUAAGAAGAUUUGAAGAUGAGUGAGAAGCAUUUUGUGCUUGUGGAUGGUGCCGGGCAUGGAAUCAGAAACAAGACAUUGAUGCUAUCACCUGGUGCUUACUCUUGGACCAUGCCAUUGCCAAAUUUUAGACACCCACUACUAUUUCAGGCACCCACUACCUUUUCUUUUAUGUAAAUCUAACUGUAGAAAGCUGGGAGACUAAACACAAACCCAAAGAAUUAGAGAUGUAACUUAGUUCAUAUGUUAAACGGCCACCGUUUUUUUUUAUAGAUUUGAACUGUAAAGGCAGAGAGAGAUUAAAGAAACACAAACAUGUGUGAAGUUGAGCUUCAUAAAUUAAAGAUGCAACUUAGCUCAUACAUUAAACAGGCAACUUCAUGUCCACUAAGAAAACACUGGAAUUUCAACAACACGCAUAAUCUGAUUCCCAUCUUCGCUUUCUACUCACUUGUAGAACUCAAAGUCCGUGUCUGGCUUCUUCACAUUUGAGCGGUAACCCUUCUCGAAAUCCUUGGGCAGUAUCACAUAUCUGUUCUUAC